rnacentral:rRNA from 1 species
GUGGGGAAUCUUCCGCAAUGGACGAAAGUCUGACGGAGCAACGCCGCGUGAGUGAAGAAGGUUUUCGGAUCGUAAAGCUCUUUCGUCAGGGACGAACGUAUUUCUUGUAAAUAAUGAGAGAUAGUGACGGUACCUAAAUAAGAAGCCACGGCUAACUACGUGCCAGCAGCCGCGGUAAUAAGUAGGUGGCAAGCGUUGUCCGGAAUUAUUGGGCGUAAAGCGCGCGCAGGCGGGAUAUCAAGUCUGUCUUAAAAGUGCGAGGCUCAACCUCGUGAGGGGACAGAAACUGGUAUUCUUGAGUGUCGGAGAGGAAAGUGGAAUUCCAAGUGUAGCGGUGAAAUGCGUAGAGAUUUGGAAGAACACCAGUGGCGAAGGCGACUUUCUGGACGAUGUCUGACGCUGAGGCGCGAAAGCUAGGGGAGCGAACGGGAUUAGAAACCCCGGUAGUCC